CAGCACCUCAAGUGGUCAGGAUGAUUAUUGGGCCUAAAGCAUCCGUAGCCGGCUCUGUAAGUUUUCGGUUAAAUCUGUAUGCUCAACAUACAGGCUGCCGGGAAUACUGCAGAGCUAGGGAGUGGGAGAGGUAGACGGUACUCGGUAGGAAGGGGUAAAAUCCUUUGAUCUAUUGAUGACCACCUGUGGCGAAGGCGGUCCACCAGAACACGUCCGACGGUGAGGGAUGAAAGCUGGGGGAGCAAACCGGAUUAGAUACCCGAGUAGUCC
rnacentral:rRNA from 1 species